rnacentral:rRNA from 1 species
CAGCCGCCGCGGUAAAACGUAGGUGGCAAGCGUUGUCCGGAAUUAUUGGGCGUAAAGGGCUCGCAGGCGGUUUCUUAAGUCUGAUGUGAAAGCCCCCGGCUCAACCGGGGAGGGUCAUUGGAAACUGGGAAACUUCAGUGCAGAAGAGGAGAGUGGAAUUCCACGUGUAGCGGUGAAAUGCGUAGAGAUGUGGAGGAACACCAGUGGCGAAGGCGACUCUCUGGUCUGUAACUGACGCUGAGGAGCGAAAGCGUGGGGAGCGAACAGGAUUAGAUACCCGAGUAGUCCCUGUCUCUUAUAA